UACGUAGGGGGCAAGCGUUGUCCGGAUUUAUUGGGCGUAAAGAGCGUGUAGGCGGCCUGGUAGGUCCGCUGUGAAAACUCGAGGCUCAACCUCGAGACGCCGGUGGAAACCAUCAGGCUAGAGUCCGGAAGAGGAGAGUGGAAUUCCGGGUGUAGUGGUGAAAUGCGUAGAGAUCCGGAGGAACCCCUGAGGCGAAGGCGGCGUCCUGGCGCACUUCUGACGUUCAGACACGACAGCAUGGGGAGCGAACGGG
rnacentral:rRNA from 1 species